GUUAAUGUAGCUUAAUUCACUCAAAGCAAGGCACUGAAAAUGCCUAGAUGAGUCGCAAGACUCCAUAAACA
rnacentral:tRNA from 1 species